rnacentral:tRNA from 1 species
ACAAAUGGUUAAUGUGUUCGGCUACUAACCAAAAGGUUGGAGGUUCAAGUCCUCC